UUACGGCCAAAUCACGUCGAAACGCCGGUUCCCGUACGAUCACCGAUAUAACCAAUGUCGAGCCUGGUCAGUAAUUAGAUGGGUAACCGUUUGGGAAUAUCAGGUGCUGUAA